rnacentral:lncRNA from 1 species
CAGCACUUGUCGCGUGUCUGUGGCUGCAGGAAGGUCUGUCCGUCUCCCUCACAGAGGGGCGGAGCAGGGCGUUUCCCUUCUCUGACUCCCGCGAUUCCCCUGUCCUUUAACCCAUCCUUACAAGUUCUAAGGAUCCAUCUCACAGGUAUAGAGUUUAUUUAGGCAGUUUAGUCUGGUUGCCCAGGUGACUGGGAAUGGC